rnacentral:rRNA from 1 species
UACGUAGGGACCAAGCGUUGUCCGGAAUCAUUGGGCGUAAAGGGCGCGUAGGCGGUCAGCACAAGUCAGUUGUGAAAUCUCCGGGCUUAACUCGGAAAGGUCAACUGAUACUGUGCGACUAGAGUGCAGAAGGGGCAACUGGAAUUCUCGGUGUAGCGGUGAAAUGCGUAGAUAUCGAGAGGAACACCUGCGGCGAAGGCGGGUUGCUGGGCUGACACUGACGCUGAUGCGCGAAAGCCAGGGGAGCGAACGGG